AUUGAACGCUGGCGGCAGGCCUAACACAUGCAAGUCGAGCGAGUGGCGGACGGGUGAGUAAUGUAUGGGGACUGCCCGAUAGAGGGGGAUAACUACUGGAAACGGUAGCUAAUACCGCAUACCAUCGGAUAACCCAGAUGGGAUUAGCUAGUAGGUGAGGUAACGGCUCACCUAGGCGACGAUCCCUAGCUGGUCUGAGAGGAUGACCAGCCACACUGGGACUGUGACACGGCCCAGACUCCUACGGAGGCAGUAGUGGGGAAUAUUGCACAAUGGGCGCAAGCCUGAUGCAGCCAUGCCGCGUGUAUGAAGAAGGCCUUAGGGUUGUAAAGUACUUUCAGUCGGGAGGCGUUACCGGCAGAAGAAGCACCGGCUAACUCCGUGCCAGCAGCCGCGGUAAUAG
rnacentral:rRNA from 1 species